UUGAUAAAUGUGAUUGUAAUUUUUUUGUGUUGUUAUAUAUGUUUGGAUGUUUUGUUAUUAUGAUUCGUUGGUGGUUGAUAUCCUACUUAUUGUGUUAUGAAUUUUGAAUGAGUUUUUUCGUGUAUCUAUUUAGUGUAUUUGUUAUAUUGUAUUUAAUAUUUUAGUUUAUUUUGUACUUUUGUUGAGAGAUAAUUUUACACUUGGGACACCCUUUUGAAUAUGUAUUUAUUUCUUUGUAUGUCUCCCUAUAUGGGUUGUGCCAAGUGAAAAUUUUGUAAUGUAAACUUACUAUAAAUGUAAGGUAUAGAGUGUGGCCUGGAAAGGUUGAGUGAAUUUUUGUAAUGUACAACUCACAAAUCAUGUAAGCUGAAAAUGAGGGUAAAAGUUGGGAGAUUCAGCUUCUUGAAAUUGAAUCAAUAUUGAUAUUUACAAGCAUGAAGAAAUUUUAAUAGCUAAUGUAUUAUUUAAAUUAGAAAUUUUUGUUUGAAUGAUAUUGUACUAAUGUGAUACAAGUGUGAACAAAAUUUUAAAAAUAUUUUGCAGGUUGUAUUGAUUCUUAGCAAGCUUGCUAAAUUUAGAAGUCUUUACUUCUCUUGGAACAUGAGGUACUAUUUAUCGGUAUAUUUUUUUUAUUCUUAUUUGUUUCUACCUUAAAUUUUUGUUUGAGAACACAGGUUUGACAAAAGUAGCAACCUUUAAGAAAAGGGAGGUAGUAAGAAUGUAGUGGGAUUUGGAUUUUGUGAUAGAUUUGGAUAGAAAAAGAAUUGUAAAUACCUAUAGGCGUAGAAGAGGGCUAGUUUUAUAAGUACUAAAUAUUUAGGAAAAUAAUUAUAUUAUAUUAUAUUAUAUUAUAUUAUAUUAUAUUAUAUUAUAUUAUAUUAUAUUAUAUUAUUAUGUAAUAUACGUAAUAUACAUGUGUAUCUACACAUUAUAUUACAUAAAUAUAUAUUAUAUAAAAUGCGUUAUAUAUAUUUACGCAUUGUUAUUAAACUUUGUUUGGAAUAUUGUAAUUUUUUUGAAUGUGUUAUAUAUGUGUUAUUUUUUUUGUUAUUGUGUGAUGUUUCGAUUGAAUAUUGUAAUAUUUGUUUUCAAUGUGAUGUUUCAUCGGAAUAUUAUAAUUUUUUUGAUUAAUGUUGAUUUUGUUUGUGAAUGUGAUGUUUCGUUGAUAAAUGUGAUUGUAAUUUUUUUUCCUGUUGUUAUAUAUAUGUUUGGAUGUUUUGUUAUUAUGUUUCGUUGGUGGUUGAUAUCCUACUUAUUGUGUAAUUUAUUUUGAAUGAAUUUUUUCGUGUAUCUAUUUAGUGUAUUUAUUAUAUUGUAUUUAAUAUUUUAGUUUAUUUUGUACUUUUGUUGAGAGAUAAUUUUACACACUUGGGACACCCAUUUGAAUAUGUAUUGAUAUUUCUUUGUAUGUCUUUCUAUAUGCGUUGUGCCAAGUGAAAAUUUUGUAAUGUAAACUUACUAUAAAUGUAAGGUAUAGAGUGUGGCCUGGAAAGGUUGAGUGAAUUUUAGUAAUGUACAACUCUCAAACCAUGUAAGCUGAAGAUGGGGAUAAAAGAUGGGAAAUUCAGCUUCUUGAAAUUGGAUCAAUAUUGAUAUUUACAAGCAUGAAGAAAUUUUAAUAGCAAAGGUAUUAUUUAAAUUAGAAAUUUUGUUUGAAUGAUAUUGUACUAAUGCGAUAUAAGUUUGAACAAAAUUUUAAAAAUAUUUUGCAGGUUGUAUUGAUUCUUAGCAAGCUUUCUAAAUUUAGAAGUCUUUACUUCUCUUGGAACAUGAGGUACUAAUUAUCGGUAUAUUUUUUUUAUUCUUAUUUGUUUUUAACUUAAAUUUUUGUUUGAGAACACAUGUUUGACAAAAGUAGCAACCUUUAGGAAAAGGGAGGUAGUAAGAAUAUAGUGGAAUUUGGAUUUUGUGAUAGAUUUGAGUAGAAAAAGAGUCGUAAGUAGGUAUAGGCGUAGAAGAGGGCUAGUUUUAUAGAUUCUAAAUAUUUAGGAAAAUAAUAUAAUAUAAUUAUAUUAUAUUAUAUUUAUAAUUAUAUUAUAUUAUACUGUACUAUACUAUACUAUACUUUAUUAUAUUAUAUUAUAUUAUAUUAUAUUAUAUUAUAUUAUAUUAUUAUGUAAUAUACGUAAUAUACAUGUGUAUCGAUACACAUUAUAUUACAUAAAUAUAUAUUAUAUAAAAUGUGUUAUAUAUGUUUACACAUUGUUAUUAAACUUUGUUUGGAAUAUUGUAAUAUUUGUUUUGAAUGUGAAAUUUCGUCGGAAUAUUAUAAUUUUUUUGAUGAAUGCUAAUUUUGUUUGUGAAUGUGAUGUUUCUUUGAUAAAUGUGAUUGUAAUUUUUUUGUGUUGUUAUAUAUGUUUGGAUGUUUUGUUAUUAUGUUUUGUUGGUGGUUGAUAUCCUACUUAUUGUGUUAUGAAUUUUGAAUGAGUUUUUUCGUGUAUCUAUUUAGUGUAUUUGUUAUAUUGUAUUUAAUAUUUUAGUUUAUUUUCCCUCUAUAUGGGUUGUGCCAAGUGAAAAUUUUGUAAUGUAAACUUACUAUAAAUGUAAGGUAUAGAGUGUGGCCUAGAAUGGUUGGGUGAAUUUUUGUAAUGUACAACUCACAAACCAUGUAAGCUGAAGAUAAGGGUAAAAGAUGGUAGAUUCAGCUUCUUGAAAUUGGAUCAAUAUUGAUAUUUACAAGCAUGAAGAAAUUUUAAUAGCAAAGGUAUUAUUUAAAUUAGAAUUUUUUGUUUGAAAGAUAUUGUAUUAAUGCCAUAAAAGUUUGAACAAAAUUUUAAAAAUAUUUUGCAGGUUGUAUUGAUUCUUAGCAAGCUUGCUAAAUUUAGAAGUCUUUACAUUGGAAAAUGAUGUACUAUUUAUCGGUAUAUUUUUUUUAUUCUUAUUUGUUUCUAACUUAAAUUUUUGUUUGAGAACACAGAUUUGACAAAAGUAGCAGCCUUUAAGAAAAGGGAUAUAUAUAGUAAGAAUGUAGUGGCAUUUUAAUUUUGUGAUAGAUUUGGGUAGAAAAAGAGUCGUAAGUAGGUAUAGGCGUAGAAGAGGGUUAGUUUUAUAGGUUUUAAAUAUUUAGGAAAAUAAUUAUAUUAUAUUAUAUUAUAUUAUAUUAUUAUGUAAUAUAUGUAAUAUACAUGUGUAUCGAUACACAUUAUAUUACAUAAUUAUAUAUUAUAUAAAAUGUUUUAUAUAUGUUUACGCAUUGUUAUUAAACUUUGUUUGGAAUAUUGUAAUUUUUUUGAAUGGUCUUGCUUGAUGAAUAUGUUAUAUAUGUGUGUUAAUUUUUUAUUUUUUUUGUGUUGUUAUAUAUGUUUGGAUGUUUUGUUAUUAUGUUUUGUGUAUUUAUUUAGUGUAUUUGUUAUAUUGUAUUUAAUAUUCUAAUUUAUUUUGUACUUUUGUUGAGAGAAUUUUACACUUGAGGCACCUUUUGAAUAUGUAUUGAUAUUUCUUUGUAUGUCUCUUUAUAUGGGUUGUGUAAAGUGAAAAUUUUGUAAUGUAGAAUUUACUAUAAAUGUAAGGCAUAGAGUGUGGCCUGGAAAGGUUGAGUGAAUUUUUGUAAUGUACAACUCACAAACCAUGUAAGCUGAAGAUGAGGGUAAAAGAUGGGAGAUUCAGCUUCUUAAAAUUGGAUCAAUAUUGAUAUCUACAAGCAUGAAGAAAUUUCAACAGCAAAGGUAUUAUUUAAAUUAGAAAUUGUUGUUUGAAUGAUAUUGUACUAAUGCGAUACAAGUUUGAAUAAAAGAUUAAAA
rnacentral:lncRNA from 1 species